rnacentral:rRNA from 1 species
CCAGGCUUGAACAGCGAGUGACCACUCCCGAAAGGGAGCUUCCGCAAGGACACUCGUAGAGGUGCUGCAUGGCUGUCGUCAGCUCGUGUCGUGAGAUGUUGGGUUAAGUCCCGCAACGAGCGCAACCCUUGUCUUCUGUUGCCAUCAGGUUAUGCUGGGCACUCUGGAGAGACUGCCGGUGAUAAACCGGGGGAAGGUGGGGAUGACGUCAAGUCAGCAUGGCCUUUAUGUCUGGGGCUACACACGUGCUACAAUGGCCGGCACAAACCGUCGCGAGCCCGCAAGGGGGAGCUAAUCGGAGAAAGUCGGUCUCAGUUCGGAUCGUCGGCUGCAACUCGCCGGCGUGAAGUUGGAAUCGCUAGUAAUCGCGGAUCAGCACGCCGCGGUGAAUACGUUCCCGGGCCUUGUACACACCGCCCGUCACAUCACGAAAGCCGGUUGUACUAGAAGCCGCCAUAUCAACCCGCAAGGGAGAGAGGCGUCUAAGGUAUGGUCGGUGAUUGGGGUG